UACGGAGGAUCCGAGCGUUAUCCGGAUUUAUUGGGUUUAAAGGGUGCGCAGGCGGAAUGUCAAGUCAGCGGUAAAAUUUCGGGGCUCAACCCCGUCGUGCCGUUGAAACUGGCGUUCUUGAGUGAGCGAGAAGUAUGCGGAAUGCGUGGUGUAGCGGUGAAAUGCGUAGAUAUUAGGAGGAACACCAGUGGCGAAGGCGACUUUCUGGACUGUACCUGACGCUGAGGCGCGAAAGCGUGGGUAGCGAACGGG
rnacentral:rRNA from 1 species